rnacentral:tRNA from 1 species
GGGGGUAUAGCUCAGGGGUAGAGCAUUUGACUGCAGAUCAAGAGGUACCUGGUUCAAAUCCAGGUGCACCCU